GCGGCUCUGUGUUAAGUGACGAGUCAAACGGGAGGAUUGUCAGUAAUAAGCCAGCACUUCCCGAUUGAUUGUUCCUGAGAUCAAAGGAAGCCCGCACGCCUUAGCUCCACCUUCCUUGACCCUCGUCGCUUGUCUCUAAGUCGCCGGGAUCCGAAACGUCAGCCUCUCUGCUCCUAUGAUGCUGCUUGGCCUGCUGUGUUCAUCCAGCCCUGCACCUUGUUGUCUCUACUGGUUAUGUUCGUGCGAGCGUCACAAAGGAAACCCCUCCUCUUGAAACUGGCUAUCUCAGUUUGCAAGAAACUCCGCUUCCUGGAAACAUCACUGUCACAUUUUAACAGGCGCUCUGUACAAGAGGAUUGGUCGGAGGAACCUUCCAUUGCCAGUAUAUGUGUGUGUGUGUGUGUGUCUGUUCUUUCUCUCUCCUUCUCCCUCUUUCGGUCGCCGCCGUCUCACACAGACGCCCGUUUUGAAUACGGAAAUGACAAGCUUGAAGAGAACUGCAAUGUCAACAGCGAAUUUUGAAGGGCAGACUGCGCAGAUGUUCCCCGCGCGGCAAAAAGCCAGUUCCUGGUUUUCAAAUAUUCUUCAAAAAAAGCCUUCCCUCGAAUCCGCGUUGCAAGGGUGUUCCAACGCUAGAAUUAGGCUGUUGAUUCGAUGCUGAGUGGAGUCAGUCACAGAAUCCCUACAGUAUCGAAACAGACUAUUCGGCCUAUAUAGUCCACACCAACCCUUCGAAGGGCAUUCCACCCAGACCCACCUCCCCUAAAAUCCUGGCUAAUCCACCUAACCUGUACAUCUCUGGACUGCGAGAGGAAACCCGAGCACCCAGACGAAACCCACGGGAGAAUGUGCAAACUCCACACAGACAGUCGCUCGAGGGUAGUAUCGAACCCAGGUCCUUGGAGCUGUGAGACAGCAGUUCUAACCACUGAACCACCGUGCAAUCUUUGCGUUGUAGCUGUCAAUCAUUCUCCAAUCCCAGCACCCUUUCACACUAAACCCCCACCUUACUCAAGACAGCUGUAGGAUAAUUCUUCAAAAAUCCAUGUCACAUCAUUCAGGAUACAACACUAUUGAGAUGUGCAUCUGAGUAGGCGCUGCACAAAGGCUGGCCAGCGGGUGUCACUAAAUGAAGUGAUGGAAAAUUUAGCAACACUGGUGAUUCUUUCUACAGAUGUUAAAUAGCCAGUGUUCUGUAUUCCUUUUAUUACUGAUGUGCAAUCGAAUUAAAACAAAUGAAUUUAACUCAAU